rnacentral:rRNA from 1 species
ACGCACGCUGGCGGCGUGCUUAACACCUGCCAGUCGAACGGAAAGGCCUUUUCGGAGGUACUCGAGUGGCGAACGGGUGAGUAACACGUGGGUGAUCUGCCCUGCACUCUGGGAUAAGCCUGGGAAACUGGGUCUAAUACCGGAUAGGACCGCACUUUAGUGUGUGUGGUGGAAAGUUUUUUCGGUGUAGGAUGAGCCCGCGGCCUAUCAGCUUGUUGGUGGGGUAAUGGCCUACCAAGGCGGCGACGGGUAGCCGGACUGAGAGGUUGGUCGGCCACAUUGGGACUGAGAUACGGCCCAGACUCCUACGGGAGGCAGCAGUGGGGAAUAUUGCACAAUGGGCGCAAGCCUGAUGCAGCGACGCCGCGUGGGGGAUGACGGCCUUCGGGUUGUAAACUCCUUCCGCCAGGGACGAAGCGUUUUGUGACGGUACCUGGAGAAGAAGCACCGGCUAACUACGUG